rnacentral:rRNA from 2 species
UAAUACAUGCAAGUCGAACGCGUUGGCCCAACUGAUUGAACGUGCUUGCACGGACUUGACGUUGGUUUACCAGCGAGUGGCGGACGGGUGAGUAACACGUAGGUAACCUGCCCCAAAGCGGGGGAUAACAUUUGGAAACAGAUGCUAAUACCGCAUAACAAUUUGAAUCGCAUGAUUCAAAUUUAAAAGAUGGUUUCGGCUAUCACUUUGGGAUGGACCUGCGGCGCAUUAGCUUGUUGGUAGGGUAACGGCCUACCAAGGCUGUGAUGCGUAGCCGAGUUGAGAGACUGAUCGGCCACAAUGGAACUGAGACACGGUCCAUACUCCUACGGGAGGCAGCAGUAGGGAAUCUUCCACAAUGGGCGCAAGCCUGAUGGAGCAACACCGCGUGAGUGAAGAAGGGUUUCGGCUCGUAAAGCUCUGUUGUUAGAGAAGAACGUGCGUGAGAGCAACUGUUCACGCAGUGACGGUAUCUAACCAGAAAGUCACGGCUAACUACUUGCCAGCAGCCGCGGUAAUAC